GUGGGGAAUAUUCCGCAAUGGACGAAAGUCUGACGGAGCAACGCCGCGUGAGUGAUGAAGGUCUUCGGAUUGUAAAGCUCUGUUAAUCGGGACGAAAGAGCCUAGUGUGAAUAAUGCUAGGAAGUGACGGUACCGGAAUAGAAAGCCACGGCUAACUACGUGCCAGCAGCCGCGGUAAUACGUAGGUGGCAAGCGUUGUCCGGAAUUAUUGGGCGUAAAGCGCGCGCAGGCGGAUCUGCCAGUCUGUCUUAAAAGUUCGGGGCUUAACCCCGUGAUGGGAUGGAAACUACAGAUCUAGAGUAUCGGAGAGGAAAGUGGAAUUCCUAGUGUAGCGGUGAAAUGCGUAGAUAUUAGGAAGAACACCAGUGGCGAAGGCGACUUUCUGGACGAAAACUGACGCUGAGGCGCGAAAGCCAGGGGAGCGAACGGGAUUAGAUACCCGAGUAGUCC
rnacentral:rRNA from 1 species